AACGAACGCUGGCGGCAGGCCUAACACAUGCAAGUCGAACGAGAAGCCACCUUCGGGUGGUGGAUAGUGGCAGACGGGUGAGUAACGCGUGGGAACGUGCCUUUCGGUUCGGGAUAACCCAGGGAAACUUGGGCUAAUACCGGAUACGCCCUCCGGGGGAAAGAUUCAUUGCCGAAAGAUCGGCCCGCGUCGGAUUAGCUAGUUGGUGGGGUAAAAGCCUACCAAGGCGACGAUCCGUAGCUGGUCUGGGAGGAUGACCAGCCACACUGGGACUGAGACACGGCCCAGCCUCCUACGGGAGGCAGCAGUGGGGAAUAUUGGACAAUGGGCGCUAGCCUGAUCCAGCCAUGCCGCGUGGGUGAAGAAGGCCCUAGGGUUGUAAACCCCUUUCAGCGGGGAAGAUAAUGACGGUACCCGCAGAAGAAGCCCCGGCUAACUCCGUGCCAGCAGCCGCCGUAAAAC
rnacentral:rRNA from 1 species